UAAAUGAUUUUGUCUAUAGUGUGAAAAAAUG
rnacentral:piRNA from 1 species